AACACACAGCCAGAAACAGGGGCUCAUAUCAAGUGUUAGAUUUUAAGAUCCUCUCACCGCGGGAAACGGAAAUAGCCACAGAUCAACUGAAAAGAAAGGAAAUCUGAACGGAAAUAACUUGAGGAAGGAAAGAACCAACAGCCAGACACCAGAAGCCUCAAGUCCUUUGAGAGAGGUGUGGCGGCGUCUCGUGCUGUUGGCCAUUCUUUCUAUUCAUCUCCGAUUUCCAACCUUCUAACUGAAAACGCGAUCUUUCCAUUAUUUCGGAUGGUUAGAUCCGCCCACUCAAGCCUCUCUUUUUAAUCAAUGCCCCAGAAAAUAAGGCAGGAUGACAUAUAUAUAUAAAGGCGGAAAGAAGAAGUUGAAGGCGCCGCGCAACUAUGGUGGAAAACCUAGGGAGGCGGCUAGAGCUGUGGGCGUCGGCUGCAGAAAAAUGCAGUUUGAAGUGUGGGAGUUAGGGCCUUAUAUUGAAGAAGUAGGGUUUAGGUUUGCUGUUCUUGAUGGAUCUUAAGCAGUCCUGAAGCCCAUCUAACCGACCAAGCCCGUGCAUGAAACUCCCCCUUAUCUCAAUUAGCUGGGUUGUUAAUUGUUAUCUGGAAAAUUUUCAAAACCAUCUCUGAUGCCAUUUUGCUUGAUUAUUAUGAUUCUAUUAUCACAUCAAUGAGUACAAAUGAAGCUUUGAAUGACAUUGAACUAUACGAUUGAAUGUAAAAUUGUGUAUUUUACAAAUCGUGUUAUGGACAUUCAUAACAUAUACAUUAUGGAACAGCACAAACAGGUCAUUACUGAAAACUGUGAAAAGACUGAAACUUGAUAGUCAAAUAAAUACUAAAACAUGAAAGCACCUCUGCCUAUGUUACAAUCUCUCCACUUUCUUAAGCACAGAAGCAAACUCUCUUUUCCAAAUGCAGUUUGCAGUCAGAUCUAUGAGAAACAGUAAUAAUUCAUCAAUGAAUUGGUCCCUCCCAUCAAAGUGAUCCCUUCACUUGCUCCAG
rnacentral:lncRNA from 1 species